CCGCCAUCUCUCGUCGCCUAUCUCCCUUCGUCGUUGCCGUCGCCCGACUCCGCUGCUCGGAGCCCGCUCGGUGCUCGUCGCCUUGGCCGUUGUUCAUCACCCACGUGUCGCUCGUCGCCUUGGCCAUUGUCCGUCACCCGCCACCGUCACAGUCCUUGGAGAAGGGCUGUUCUGACACUGGAGAGUUUGAACGUUGGCCAUCGUGUAAUAAAAAACAGUUAUGUGUCCUGAUGAUUCAAAGUUUGUAUUUUGGGAUAGUUUCAUCUUACAGGGAAAGCAUAUGUGGAUCUAGUGGAUGGGCUCCUUCAAGAAGCCCUGAGGAAGUUUUAUGAAUAAAAUAUUUUUAUGUUGUAUUAUUUGUUGGUAAAAUAUUUAUUUAUCGUAAUAGUAUUAUUUGUUGCUUCUCCUAAUUCCAAACUUUGUUCCAUGGAUCAAGGUACUACAGUUACUAUGUUUUAAUUUUUAUAAUAGUAAGGGCUAAGGCGUAGUUUCCCCCUAAAUAAUAGUAAUAAAGAACACAACCACCCGUAAAUAUAUUAGUAGUAAGUGUAAUUAUUUGACACCCUCAAUUGCACUUUUUGCCUCAUAUCAAAAAUAACAACUCAAAUCAAAAACUCAAUUGAGUUCACGGACUUGUCGCACUAUUUUAGCAUGUGAUGUAAAUGGCAUAUGUAAACACGACAUGGACCUUUCGUUUGUUAUGUAGAGAAGGAUACAUUGCUGCUAAAGUCAGAUUUUCCAAUAGGCAAGAAUAUGUUCAAUUACAUCCUCUUGCAAAAAGCUUAACUGGGAUGAAACAAUACAGUACUAUGGAAUAGAAAGAUUCAUUCAGUUCAGAUAGUUGUCAGGCUUCUUUUCAUUGAGAUGUAUCAUUUCAAUGAAAUAGAACAUAUUCCAGAUGCUUGGAAUUUGGACAUUACUUCUUGUCAGGAGAUAGAAAGUGUUGACGUACCUCAACAACGUGGUAGCUUGGAUUGCGGGGAGUUCUUGAUGGCAUACAUGUUUAGCCUCGUUUCCGGUCAACCAAUUUUAAUUGACCAAAAGGAUUGUGCAAGACAUAGAGCUCGUAUCAUUGCUCUAGACAUAGAGCUCGUAUCGUUGCUUUAUUUCUAUCUGAAGGUAUAUUUUCCAUAAGUGUAAUGUUCAUUGAACCACUUAUAUUCAGUCUAUUAUUCUUUUGAUCUGCUUAUAUUUUAAUUUUAGGAUAUCAAUGUAAUCCUCAAGACCAAUUCCCCGGAUGCUAGAUGCUAAAUGUGAUAUCCAAUAUUUUUUGUGUGUAUAAAUAUAUGUUUGGAAAUUGAUUUGUAAAGUAUUUGUAUAAAUAUAUGUUUGUCAGUAUGAAACCUAUGGGGCUGCUGUUGGAAUUGGUUAUGUAAAGUUCUGCCACAAUUUUGGGACGUUGUAUAUAGUUUGUCAAUUGCA